GACGGAGUAGCUCAGUCUGGUAGAGCAAGCGGCUCAUACCCGCUAUGUCGCUGGUUUCGAGAUUUGUUCA
rnacentral:tRNA from 1 species